GACACUCAGUGAGCAGUCGGUGCCGGUGCAGGCUCGCGCACACUCCUCGGAGGAGGGAAGGAGCCGGGCGCUGCUCUGCGCUCCGCAAGGCAUGAGCCGGCCAGGUUUCCGCAGCUGCCGGGGACACGAAUGGCAGGCGUUCUCCAACCAGGACUCCAAGGUGGCUUCGAUUCGCGUUGGUCACUGCCGAUGACAUUCUCCAGACUGUCAAAUCCUGGGGAGUCUCGAGCCCCGAGUUUGGAGUUGAUUUUUUACCUCAACCCCCCAACCACGUCACAGUCUCAACUGCAGAGGGAAAAAAAGGGGGACCGAGGCAGGAAGGCGAGAAGCCCAGGCUCCCGGCACGUAGUUGGGAAACUUGCGGGUCCUAGAAGUCGCCUCCCCGCCUCGCCGACCGCCCCUGCAGCCCCGGAGCGCAGCAGCAAAGUGAGACAUUGUGCGUCUGCCAGAUCCUCGGGCCGCGGAGCAGGGCUGCCUCGGGAAACACAGAGGGGUCUUCUCUCACCCUGCAUAUAAUUAGCCUACACACAAAGGGAGCAGCUGAAUGGAGGUUGUCACUCGCUGGAAAAGGAUUUCUGACCCAGCGCUUCCAAUGGACAUUCUCCAGUCUCUCUGGAAAGAUUCUCGCUAAUGGAUUUCCUGCUACUCGGCCUCUGUCUACACUGGCUGCUGAGGAGGCCCUCGGGGGUGGUCUUGUGUCUGCUGGGGGCCUGCUUUCAGAUGCUGCCCGCCGCCCCCAGCGGAUGCCCGGGGCAGUGUCGGUGCGAGGGGCGGCUGCUGUACUGCGAGGCGCUCAACCUAACCGAGGCGCCCCACAACCUGUCCGGCCUGCUGGGCUUGUCUUUGCGCUACAACAGCCUCUCGGAGCUGCGCGCCGGCCAGUUCACAGGGUUAAUGCAGCUCACGUGGCUGUAUUUGGAUCACAAUCACAUCUGCUCGGUGCAGGGGGACGCCUUUCAGAAACUGCGCCGAGUUAAGGAACUCACGCUGAGUUCCAACCAGAUCACUGAACUGGCCAACACCACCUUCCGGCCCAUGCCCAACCUGCGCAGCGUGGACCUGUCCUAUAACAAGCUGCAGGCGCUAGCUCCGGAUCUCUUCCACGGGCUGCGGAAGCUCACCACCUUGCACAUGCGGGCCAAUGCCAUCCAAUUCGUGCCGGUGCGCAUCUUUCAGGACUGCCGCAGCCUCAAGUUUCUCGACAUUGGAUACAAUCAGCUCAAGAGUCUAGCGCGCAACUCUUUCGCCGGCUUGUUCAAGCUCACAGAGCUACACCUGGAGCAUAACGACUUGAUCAAGGUGAACUUCGCCCAUUUCCCGCGCCUCAUCUCCCUGCACUCGCUCUGCCUGAGGCGGAAUAAGGUUGCCAUUGUGGUCAGCUCUCUCGACUGGGUUUGGAAUUUGGAGAAAAUGGACUUGUCUGGGAACGAGAUCGAAUACAUGGAGCCCCAUGUGUUCGAGACCGUGCCCUACCUGCAGACCCUGCAGCUGGACUCCAACCGCCUCACCUACAUUGAGCCCCGUAUCCUCAACUCCUGGAAGUCCCUUACGAGCAUCACUCUGGCGGGGAACCUGUGGGACUGCGGGCGCAACGUGUGUGCUCUAGCUUCCUGGCUAAGCAACUUCCAGGGACGUUACGAUGCUAACUUGCAGUGCGCCAGCCCUGAGUACGCACAGGGCGAGGACGUCUUGGAUGCAGUGUAUGCUUUCCACCUGUGCGAGGAUGGGGCCGAGCCCACCAGCGGCCACCUCCUGUCGGCGGCCGUCACUAACCGCAGUGACCUAACGCCCCCAGAGAGCUCAGCCACGACUCUGGUGGACGGUGGGGAGGGGCACGAUGGCACGCUUGAGCCCAUCACUGUGGCUCUUCCCGGCGGCGAGCACGCAGAGAACGCUGUGCAAAUCCACAAAGUGGUCACCGGCACGAUGGCCCUCAUCUUCUCCUUCCUCAUCGUGGUCCUCGUACUCUACGUAUCCUGGAAGUGUUUCCCAGCCAGCCUAAGGCAGCUCAGACAGUGCUUUGUCACGCAGCGCAGGAAGCAGAAGCAGAAACAGACCAUGCAUCAGAUGGCUGCUAUGUCUGCCCAGGAAUACUAUGUUGAUUACAAACCCAACCACAUCGAGGGGGCCCUGGUGAUCAUCAACGAGUACGGCUCUUGUACCUGUCACCAGCAACCUGCGAGGGAAUGCGAGGUGUGAUUGUCCCAGAGGCUCCCAACCCAUGCGCUACCAAAUACGCCUGGGCAGCCAGGCGGGCCAGCGGGCGCCAGGACUGGUCUCCUCUGAGCUCUGAUUUGUUGACUGAAACUGUAAGGGGAUCUCUCCCAGAGACUUGACAUUUUAGCUUUAUGUGUCUUAAAAAACAAACAAACAAACAAACAAAAUCCCGAAAUAAAACACAACAAAAAACCCCACCCCAAUAAUCUUCAGGAGAGUCUGUCUUAAAUUUCAUAUGAGAACUUCUUCCUCCCUUUGAAGAUCUGUCCAUAUUCAGGAAUCUGAGAGUGUUAAAAAAAGAUUCCAUCUCCAUCCAUCUGCUGCACGCUUCCCCUCAAGCAGCAUAUACCUGUUUCAUCUCCCCCGAGCUUAGAGACUUCUGGAGGAAGAUGGGAGCAAAAUCUCCUUUGGCUCAGUGGUAACCACGUCUUGCCAUCAGAAGUGCAUGUGUUGCUUUUGUGAACCUCCAAGUGCUGACAACCAUGGUGGAAUUGUAACUGCCACCUUGUGUGACUGUAUUUCUGGACUCCAUAGCCAAGCAGUUCUGAUCUCCAGCAAAAGCCAGCCACACAUACCAAAGCAAGCUGCCCACAUGUUUAUACAGAACUGCUAACCCACGGGAACUGCGAUGAAAAGAGAUAAGAGAGUCGGAAGACUUGCUUUUGUUUUGAUUUUCUACUCAAAUGAGCUCUUUGAAGAAAAAAAAUAAGAACAAUAAAGAAGAAAAGGAAGAAAAAGAAAAGAAAAGAAAAAGAAUGAAAGAAAGAAAAAGAAUCAUUCUCCAAGUUGGUGCCCUGCCAAGCUUCCUCCCCUUUCUUCCUUGUCCAAGCACUCCACCGUCUGUGCAGACUGUAUAACAGCAAGUUCUGGAAACAGGCUGAGGAAUCUG